rnacentral:rRNA from 1 species
CAAUAGCGUAUAUUAAAGUUGUUGCAGUUAAAAAGCUCGUAGUUGGAUUUCUGGUGGGAGCGAUCGGUCUGGCGCUUAGCGCGAGUACUUGCAUCGUCUCCGGCCAUCCUUGGGGAGUGUCUGUCUGGCAUUAGGUUGUCGGGCAGAGGAUCCUCAUCGUUUACUGUGAAAAAAUUAGAGUGUUCAAAGCAGGCUUAUGCCGUUGAAUAUAUUAGCAUGGAAUAAUAAGAUAGGACUUUGGUACUAUUUUGUUGGUUUGCGCACCAAAGUAAUGAUUAAUAGGGACAGCUGGGGGUAUUCGUAUUCCGUUGUCAGAGGUGAAAUUCUUGGAUUUACGGAAGACGAACUACUGCGAAAGCAUUUACCAAGGAUGUUUUCAUUAA